AUGUAGUUUCAACUUUUUUUGUUGUUGUUGUUUUGUUUUCUAAAUUCUAAAUUAUGGGAAAGUUUUUUUUUUUUUUUGCCAUUGCAGAGUUCAGUAUUUGUUCUGCUAUUUUACUUCAGGUUUUUUCUCUAGAUACUUUAUUACCUAUAUGCUGAAUCUUUUUUGCCUAUUUGUCAUUUUUUAUUUUUUCUUUUUAUUUUUUCCUUUAUGUCUUUAUGACUAAAACAAAUUUCUCCUAUUUCUCUCAAUGCAUUGACUGCCUGUUAUUUGCCCUUGUGUUCCUUCCAGUUUAGCCCUCAUUUCUGAGAUGAUUUUCAUUUGUCCUGAAUUCUUUCCCAAGUCAUCUUUUUUCCAGGUUUCCCUUGCUUCUCUCUUCUCCCUCCACACAGACGCUGGUAUCACGCAGGGCCGUGGCCAUGGUGGUCACCUCCACUUGCUUUUACGUAGGGCCUAGAGGGUGGGGACUGUAUCAUCUAGUUUUGUUGUUUUUGGCCAUUUGCCCAUGUGUUUUUGGUUUUACUAUCUAAUUUCCAUGUUAUUUUUGUGUAGGAUUCAAGGAGAUUCAAAACCCGUGUCACUGCUGCCAUCUUCCUAGAAUCCCUUUAAAUCCUCAUGGAUUUGCUGACAUUGGGAGCAUCCUGAAAGAGUCCCCAUGCUAGGGUGGCUGCAGUAACAGGUUCUCCCCACUCCAGAAAAAAUCAAAUCAGAUUGUGAAUUUAUUCCCUGACAUUAACACACGGCAUUACAGGAGCAUGUACAUCACAUGGUCAAUUUAUUGGCAUGAGGAUUAUGUCAUCGGGGAAUAAAUGGGAAAUUCUCAAGGAGAAGCCAAGUUGUGAGCAGUGCACCUUCACAAGCAAAGCCUCGACUGAAAUCUUCUCUAACAAUUGGCUGGUCACUCCUGAGCGUAAUCUACCCCUUCAGAACACUGGGGAUGAAUUUAGAGACAUCGAAGCCUCCUGAUGAGAAAUACGUGUCCACUCACCGGGAGAACUGAAAUACCAGGAGAUUUCUACACAAAUCUCACAGAGUCCUUCUGGCGUCCUAGGGGUUUGCUCACAUAUAAGGGACUUUCUGGUAGGAAGAGAGUCUCUUUACAUUCUUUAUUAUAUGAUCCUGGUGGCUUUGUAGAGAGAUGGUACAGCUGACAGAUCAUGUCCUGUGGGGCCAGGGAGUUGUGUGUGUGUGAAUGCUCUGUGAACUUGGGCAAACUACUUAGCCUCUCUGAGCCUUAGCUGCAUCAGCUUUGAAAAACAGGAUGAUAAAAUGGAGUCACCUUAUUUGACUUUUAUAAAUACACUUACACAAUUACACAAGUUGUGGGGAUGGGAAGAGAGAGUUGGGGAAAGAGAAAUGAGAGAGAGAGAGAGAGAGAAUGAAUGAUAAACAAUUUAAACAACAGUGGGGUGUAGACCAACGCCCAGCCUGGCAAGGGUGAGCCCAGAGAGCCUUCCCUCCUGGCUAUUGGCAGCCUCCGCAUGGAAGCCUGUCGUUGACUUCUUAAUGAUGAGAGAUGUUCUGGGGGCACUCCAGGAUUCUUGGACAUGGGAUCGUCUUCACAGCUGUGUCUAUUGAAAGCUGAAGUUUCAGUCUCCCCUGCCCCCUGCCCCCUGGAGUGGCUUCCCAGGGGAAAUUCAAGGGCACCUGUGACUGCAUGGCUGCUUUCCUUUCCUUUACUCAAUGCCGUCCUUUGGUGACAGCCGUGUCUCAUGCCAGGAUACAUGAGGUGCUCUAUAGUAGUAUGUUUUCCCUCCUGGGAGGUAAUUUUAUUUAAAUGUGAAGUCAAAAGGAUCACUAAAUAGAACCAUGAGGCAACCACUCUGGGCACCUGCCUGGUGAUAUCCACAAGAGCUGACCACAGGUGCCCCCUGUGCCCAGCAAGUCCUUGGCUGGGCAGUCACACAACAGGCAUGGGGAUGUGUGGCCACCAAGCCCUCCAGGGCAGUGCUAUUUGUAAUAGUCCCAAAUGGGAGAGAUGGCAAACGCCCGCCAAUGGGGCAGCAUGGAUAAAUGGAUGCUGCACAGCAACGGCGAUGAGUGAGCCCCAGCACCCGUGAGCUCACCAGUGUAAUAUUGGGUGGAAGAAGCCAGGAGGAAGGGCAUUCACAUUCUGUGAUUCCAGCUACACUAUGUUUAAAUAUGGGCAGAGCUAGGCUGUGGUGCUGGAAGCCAGGACAGUGGGAUCCUUGCAUGGGGGUGAUGGUGCUGGUAGGUUCUGGUAAUUUCCUCUUCUUGAUCUGGGUGUAAACAUUUUGUGAAAAUUCAAUGAGCUGUACAUUUAUGACUGGUACAUUUAUGACUUUGUAUGAAUAUUAUACUUUCAUAAAACUACUUUAAAAUAUGAUUGUGAACCUUUUUUCACCUAUUUUCUGCCAAUUAGCACCGAAUUGCUCACUAACUAAUGAGUGGUGCUGGUUUUGACUUGCUUGCUACACUGUCUUGAGACAGAUAGGGUUUUCUGUGCUUUGUAUGACCCCCUCUGGAACCAGGGUGGGACUGGGAACACUCGGAAAACAUGUGCUGACAGAUGCUGGGCAUCCCCGUGUUGGUGGAGGCAUGCUCAUUCCUCAGCAAAAUACCCAUAUGGGGUGUUGGCAGGAAAGAGGACAGAAAAGGACAAAGUAUUUGUCUCUGCUAGCGUUCCUGGAGCUGUCUCACCUUGGCCAAGCCCCCGCCCAGUCCUCUCCUAACGUGGACAGACUAGGGGGCAGAAACUAGUCAGCCAAAGAAUUUCCAAGCUAGGGGUUGAUGAAUGCUUGGAUAAUUUGCCCAUGAACACGUUGGAUUCUUCUUCACUUGCCAUCACGGGGGGAUAAGUACCCCAGUUUUUUUUUGGAGAGAAUUGAGGGACUGUGCCAUUGCAGUGUGGAUUUCAAGAGAUUUUAAACGGAAGGCAGAGUAACAGUGUGGUUUGGGAAGCUCUAAAGACAGUUGUCCUGGUGCGGUUUCUUCCAUAAAAGAGUGGGGACGCCAUGGACCUGCUCACCAAAUUCCAGUCCCGACACAGUUCUGUGAGGCACUCUCCACAUCAGGGCAGACGGGCAGGAGGAGUUUACACAGCGAUCUGGGGGCCAUUAGAGCACUGAGGGAUCCAUUGCUGUCUCUUGUUUCUGUUUCCCACACUGUGCUGGGUGCUGGGAACAUGACGAUGAACUUGAAGGAAAUAAUGUGUACGGUGGUUCAUUUCCAAGACAUAGUGCCUUGAAUCAGUUUAGGUCAGCAAACUACAGAAGAAACAGGAUAUACUAGGCCCCUGCUUGGAGAGCUGAUGCCUGUUUGUUGCCCCUCACCCCCUUAGUUGCCCUUACCAGAACCAAAGGAGUUUAGUCUAAGAUGAAAGUUUACUAGCCUGCAAAAUAGCUCACUUUGUCUGUUCUUAUCAGCCUGCCCAGCUACUUAGGUCAUAAGUGAAAUACUUGAAGAGCCCCUGAGCUAACUAGGAUUGCAAUGCAUUGUGGCUGCAACAAGAUGCAGCAAGACAACUGUAAAGAAAAUGCCUAAAACCCCUACCCACCAACCCAUAGGCGAUGUCCAGGAAGACUGUGACCUCCAUAGUACUCAGCAUUUGAGGAACUGGGGGAGGGACCUGUGCACUAGGGGAUAAAUUGCUUGUUGAAACUGUGCUGGGUGUGCCUGUCCAUCAGAUACCCUAUCUUGCAAGACUGUCG
rnacentral:lncRNA from 10 species